UUAGAGUUUGAUCCUGGCUCAGAGCGAACGCUGGCGGCAGGCUUAACACAUGCAAGUCGAGCGGGCGUAGCAAUACGUCAGCGGCAGACGGGUGAGUAACGCGUGGGAACGUACCUUUUGGUUCGGAACAACACAGGGAAACUUGUGCUAAUACCGGAUAAGCCCUUACGGGGAAAGAUUUAUCGCCGAAAGAUCGGCCCGCGUCUGAUUAGCUAGUUGGUGAGGUAACGGCUCACCAAGGCGACGAUCAGUAGCUGGUCUGAGAGGAUGAUCAGCCACAUUGGGACUGAGACACGGCCCAAACUCCUACGGGAGGCAGCAGUGGGGAAUAUUGGACAAUGGGGGCAACCCUGAUCCAGCCAUGCCGCGUGAGUGAUGAAGGCCCUAGGGUUGUAAAGCUCUUUUGUGCGGGAAGAUAAUGACGGUACCGCAAGAAUAAGCCCCGGCUAACUUCGUGCCAGCAGCCGCGGUAAUACGAAGGGGGCUAGCGUUGCUCGGAAUCACUGGGCGUAAAGGGUGCGUAGGCGGAUCUUUAAGUCAGAGGUGAAAGCCUGGAGCUCAACUCCAGAACUGCCUUUGAUACUGGGGAUCUUGAGUUCGGGAGAGGUGAGUGGAACUGCGAGUGUAGAGGUGAAAUUCGUAGAUAUUCGCAAGAACACCAGUGGCGAAGGCGGCUCACUGGCCCGAUACUGACGCUGAGGCACGAAAGCGUGGGGAGCAAACAGGAUUAGAUACCCUGGUAGUCCACGCCGUA
rnacentral:rRNA from 1 species